GCAUGUCGAAAGUACAAAUGUUACCUCUUGCUUCGUCACCAUCAACUAUGUAUUCAAAAAAAUAAAAAAAAUUAGCUUUAUGUACUUCAGAAUGAGGUGAUGAAGGAGGAGAAGAUUCCUAAGAAAGACAGACGCCACUGGUAAAAUAGAAGGGAGUGUAAAGUGAAGAGAUGAGAACCAUGCGGAUCAGAGCUACUGUUCCUAAAGAAUAACAAGCAAAAACGAGUAGAGGCUGUGGACAUCAAUGGAUCUAUCAUCUCUUGCAAUUUUGCGCGAUAUCCUGCAUCCUCUACGAAAAUUGGUAACCCCUAAACACUGAUUUGCUCCAC
rnacentral:lncRNA from 1 species